rnacentral:rRNA from 1 species
GACGAACGCUGGCGGCGUGCUUAACACAUGCAAGUCGAACGCUGAAGCCUAGCUUGCUGGGUGGAUGAGUGGCGAACGGGUGAGUAACACGUGAGUAACCUGCCCCCUUCUUUGGGAUAACGCCCGGAAACGGGUGCUAAUACUGGAUAUUCACUGGCUUUCGCAUGGGGGUUGGUGGAAAGGUUUUUUCUGGUGGGGGAUGGGCUCGCGGCCUAUCAGCUUGUUGGUGGGGUGAUGGCCUACCAAGGCUUUGACGGGUAACCGGCCUGAGAGGGUGACCGGUCACAUUGGGACUGAGAUACGGCCCAGACUCCUACGGGAGGCAGCAGUGGGGAAUAUUGCACAAUGGGCGAAAGCCUGAUGCAGCGACGCCGCGUGAGGGAUGACGGCCUUCGGGUUGUAAACCUCCUUCGCUCAUGGUCAAGCCGCAACAGUGGUUGUGGUGAGGGUAGUGGGUAAAGAAGCACCGGCUAACUACGUGCCAGCAGCCGCGGUAAUACUUAGGGUGCGGGCGUUAAUCGGAUUUACUGAGCGUAAAGCGUGCGUACGCGGCUUUUUAAGUCGGAUGUGUAAUCCCUGAGCUAUACUUAGGAAUGGUUUUCUAAUACUGUUAAUCUAGAGUUUGGGAGAGGAUGGUUGAUUUACCGGGAGUGUGGAUAAACGUCUCUACCUCUUGCGCCAUUCCACUUUCGAAGAUUGCCACUCUCAUUUCUUUUAUGCUUCUGGUUGCAAGUGUUGGUCGCGAAUUUGAUGAU